rnacentral:tRNA from 1 species
GGAGAAGUAGCUCAGGGGUUAAGAGCACUGACUUCACUUCUAGAAGACCUGGGUUCAAUUCCCAGCACCUCAC